rnacentral:rRNA from 1 species
CAUCGGUUCUAUUUUGUUGGUUUCUAGGACCGCUGUAAUGAUUAAUAGGGAUAGUCGGGGGCGUCCGUAUUCAAUUGUCAGAGGUGAAAUUCUUGGAUUUAUUGAAGACGAACUACUGCGAAAGCAUUCGCCAAGGAUGUUUUCAUUAAUCAGUGAACGAAAGUUAGGGGAUCGAAGACGAUCAGAUACCGUCGUAGUCUUAACCAUAAACUAUGCCGACUAGGGAUCGGACGGUGGUUUUUUUAUGCCCCGUUCGGCACCUUACGAGGAAUCAAAGUGUUUGGGCUCGGGGGGGAGUAUGGUCGCAAGGCUGAAACUUAAAGAAGUUGACGGAAGGGCACCACAAGGCGUGGAGCCUGCGGCUUAAUUUGACUCAACACGG